rnacentral:misc_RNA from 1 species
UCUGCAAUUUCUUCUUGGCUACCUGAGGUUGACUUGCUGUGUUCAACAGAAAGAGAUGAGGCAUCUGUCCCAGCUGGUUUACUCUCAAUCUUAUUUUCUUCCAACACAUUCAACGGUAGUGUUUUAUUGUCAGUCUUAAGGCUGUUAUCCAGAGGCUUAUCUUCCGCUUCUCGAUUUUUCAUUUUCUCAAUGUUUCCCUCAUCCAAUAUUUCUUCUUUUUCUUGCACAAUUUCCAUCUUAUCUUCACUUUCCGAUGGCUCCUCAGGGACAAUCUCACCAUCAUUGGUCUUCUCCUCCUCAUCCUUUGUUUCUUCUUUUUCUUGCACAAUUUCCAUCUUAUCUUCACUUUCCGAUGGCUCCUCAGGGACAAUCUCACCAUCAUUGGUCUUCUCCUCCUCAUCCUUUG